GUGGAUGUGGCUUAGUGAUAGAGCAUUUGCCUGGCAUGUAUGAGGUCCUGAGUUCAAUCCUCAGCAUUACCC
rnacentral:tRNA from 1 species